GCAGACGGGUGCGUAACACGUAGGUGACCUGCCCUGGAGUGGGGAAUAACUGCCCUAACGGGUGGCUAAUACCGCAUAUGCCCACCGGGUCGGACCGGUGCGUAAAGCCUUUGGGCGCUUUGGGAUGGGCCUGCGGCGGAUUAGGUAGUUGGUGGGGUAACGGCCUACCAAGCCGAUGAUCCGUAGGGGGCGUGAGAGCGUGGCCCCCCACACUGGCACUGAGAUACGGGCCAGACUCCUACGGGAGGCAGCAGUGAGGAAUAUUGCACAAUGGGCGAAAGCCUGAUGCAGCAACGCCGCGUGAGGGACGAAGGCCUUCGGGUUGUAAACCUCUUUUCUGAGGGACGAGACAAGGACGGUACCUCAGGAAUAAGUCUCGGCUAACUACGUGCCAGCAGCCGCGGUAAGACGUAGGAGGCGAGCGUUAUCCGGAUUUACUGGGCGUAAAGCGCACGCAGGCGGCUUCGUUAGUCGGAUGUGAAAGCUCCUGGCUUAACCGGGAGAGGCCAUUCGAUACUGCGAGGCUUGAGGUUGGAAGAGGGGUGUGGAAUUCCCGGUGUAGUGGUGGAAUGCGUAGAUAUCGGGAGGAACACCUGUGGCGAAAGCGGCACCCUGGUCCACACCUGACGCUGAGGUGCGAAAGCGUGGGUAGCAAACAGGAUUAGAUACCCUGGUAGUCCACGCCGUAAACGAUGUCAACUGGGUGUCGGU
rnacentral:rRNA from 1 species